rnacentral:rRNA from 1 species
UACGUAGGGUGCGAGCGUUAAUCGGAAUUACUGGGCGUAAAGUGUGCGCAGGCGGCCGCGCAAGUCGAGUGUGAAAUCCCCGAGCUUAACUUGGGAAUUGCGCUCGAAACUACGUGGCUGGAGUGUGGCAGAGGAAGGUGGAAUUCCACGUGUAGCGGUGAAAUGCGUAGAGAUGUGGAGGAACACCGAUGGCGAAGGCAGCCUUCUGGGCCAACACUGACGCUCAGGUGCGAAAGCCAGGGGAGCGAACGGG